rnacentral:rRNA from 1 species
UGGGGAAUAUUGGACAAUGGACCGAGAGUUUGAUCCAGCAAUUCUGUGUGCACGAUGAAGUUUUUCGGAAUGUAAAGUGCUUUCAGUUGGGAAGAAAGAAAUGACGGUACCAACAGAAGAAGUGACGGCUAAAUACGUGCCAGCAGCCGCGGUAAUACGUAUGUCACGAGCGUUAUCCGGAUUUAUUGGGCGUAAAGCGCGUCUAGGUGGUUAUGUAAGUCUGAUGUGAAAAUGCAGGGCUCAACUCUGUAUUGCGUUGGAAACUGUAUAACUAGAGUACUGGAGAGGUAAGCGGAACUACAAGUGUAGAGGUGAAAUUCGUAGAUAUUUGUAGGAAGGCCGAUGGGGAAGCCAGCUUACUGGACAGAUACUGACGCUAAAGCGCGAAAGCGUGGGUAGCAAACAGG